CCUGGCUGGUGCAGCCCAAGCCUCGGUGGCUUGGAGGUAACGGCUGGCUGCUAGACGGCCCUGAAGAGGUUCUGCAAGCUGAAGCCUGCAGUACAACUGAGGAUGGAGAUGAGCCACUCCACUGUCCCACAGGUUAUGAAUGCCACAUUAUCAAUGCAGGAAACCCUGCUGCUGGCAUCCCCAAUCGGGGUCAAUGUAUCAAGCAUCGUGGAAACUCUGAUGGACAUUUCUUGAGGUACAAAUACUUUAAGGACUACUUGGGUAUCAGUUCUAACAAUGCAGUCAGCUAUGACAAACAUCACAAGUACCUGGGAUAAAGGACAUUUUCAGCCACUUUCAACUGUCAUAUUAAAAACCAAAUACCUGUUUAUCCUUACCUCUCUUCCACAAAAGCCUUGUUUUUUUUUUUAUGUUACCAAGGUCAACCUUGACCCCAGCCUCAGCUUCAACCAUAACACAGCGUCAGACAUCAGCCCACUUCUGUUCGAUCUCAUCACACCUGAACUAGCAAAAAGUCUGACUUUUUUUGCUACACUUAAAGCUGCUACCUCCUCUUUGCAAAGCUUCAACUUGCAGCCUCUAUUCAGUCAUGGCAUGCUUUUGGAGACAGGUCUGAUGUCAGACACACCUACAGUACGAAGCCAAAGAAUGCUUUUUUUUGUCUCUGAUGUCUGUGAAAUGAAGGUGCAGAGGGUGCUGAUGGUACACAGAGGAGGACGCUUAGAUUACACAAAAGCUGCUUAUCAAAUCUUUCUUUCUUUCUUUCUAACUCAGUAAAACCCCAGUACCACUCACUCUCACACACAGACACACUCUCUAACCUUAAGGCUGACUAGCAGAAAAAACCAAGACCAAGUGACCCUGUUACUCAUCCUCUGAAAGAUGUUGCUUUUCUCAAAUCUGGAAGGUUUUAUAGACAAAUAAGAGAAAUUAGAGCUGUAGUUGUUGCAUUUUUGAAACAAAUCCAAACAUGAGUAAACAUUCUGACUAAUAACACCAGUUAUAAGAAUAAAUGCCAUAUGAGUUUCGAGGGUAUUGUUGGUUUUGGAGGAUUUGGAACAGCUGUACAACAAAUGCUGACCAUGACUUCAUUGCAUCUGAAAUAAGUCAAACUAGUUCACUCAAGGGUUUGGGAGAAAUUUUGAGUAAAACAGAUACUUCACUUGUGAAGGAGGAAAGCUUUAACAGCUUUUAAAAGCCACUUUUUAAUAAGCCUAGAGAGGGCAAGUGCUGACAAGACUGAUUUGGGGCGGAUUGCCCCUUCACGCUUAAACUCUCUAAAUAUCCUGUAACAAAUUUACUGAAUUGACAUUUUUAACGCAACAAGUCAUACAACAAACAUCCACCAGUGCAGUACUGUAUGUCAACCAAAACAAAAUAAUCCAGUCUGUUAAACUGUCACACCACCACAAUCCUUUGUUUUUGUACAGACAUGAGAAUAGACGGGCCUUUUGCACAGAGUAGAUGGUCAAAUUGUCUCCUGUGUUAUUCUUAAACAACUUUUUGAAGUCAGCUGUUUAAUUUAAGUUGUGUCUGUUGUGAGUUCAAAUGGUGCUCAGUUUCUGUGGUGCCUAUAGUAACAGAAGAAUAAGCUGGUCAGAUGACAGUGUAAAACAAAAGCUGUAGCCAUUCUCUGUUUCCAAAACUAAAGUGAUUUCUGAAUGUUGCUAUCUGACUGGUGCUGUAAUGCUUUUUCAU